rnacentral:tRNA from 1 species
CCUCUGGUAGCUCAGUUGGUAGAGCGGUGGACUGUAGUUGGUGAAAGUAAAAAAGCAGUAAUCCAUAGGUCGCUGGUUCAAAUCCGGCCCGGAGGA